rnacentral:rRNA from 1 species
AACGCGAAGAACCUUACCUGGCCUUGACAUGCUGAGAACUUUCCAGAGAUGGAUUGGUGCCUUCGGGAACUCAGACACAGGUGCUGCGUGGCUGUCGUCAGCUCGUGUCGUGAGAUGUUGGGUUAAGUCCCGUAACGAGCGCAACCCCUGUCCUUAGUUACCAGCACAUAAUGGUGGGCACUCUAAGGAGACUGCCGGUGACAAACCGGAGGAAGGUGGGGAUGACGUCAAGUCAUCAUGGCCCUUACGGCCAGGGCUACACACGUGCUACAAUGGGCGGUACAGAGGGUUGCCAAGCCGCGAGGUGGAGCUAAUCCCGAAAAACCGUUCGUAGUCCGGAUCGGAGUCUGCAACUCGACUCCGUGAAGUCGGAAUCGCUAGUAAUCGCGAAUCAGAACGUCGCGGUGAAUACGUUCCCGGGCCUUGUACACACCG